ACUGGUGAGAAUCCUGUCCACCGAAUGACUAAGGUUUCCUGGGGAAGGCUCGUCCUCCCAGGGUUAGUCGGGACCUAAGCUGAGGCCGAGAGGCGUAGGCGAUGGACAACGGGUUGAUAUUCCCGUACCGGUCUGAUUUGUUUGAGCAAUGGAGGGACGUAGGAGGCUAACGAUGCGCACUAUCGGAUAUGCGUCCAAGCAGCAAGUCUGUCGGCGAGUCAAAUGCUUGCCGGCUCAAGGACAAGCUGUGACGGGUAUGAACGAUUAUCGUUCUAAGUGAGUGACGUCACACUGCCAAGGAAAGCUUCUAGUUAGAAUCAGACCGCCCGUACCGCAAACCGACACAGGUAGUCGGGUCGAGAAGACCAAGGUGAGCGAGAGAACUUUCGUUAAGGAACUCGGCAAAAUGACCCCGUAACUUCGGGAGAAGGGGUGCUGAUCGCAAGAUCAGCCGCAGUGAAUAGGCCCAGGCGACUGUUUAUCAAAAACACAGGUUUCUGCAAAAUCGUAGAUGAAGUAUAGGGGCUGACGCCUGCCCGGUGCUGGAAGGUUAAGAGGAUGGGUUAGCGCAAGCGAAGCUCAGAAUUGAAGCCCCAGUAAACGGCGGCCGUAACAAUAACGGUCCUAAGGUAGCGAAAUUCCUUGUCGGGUAAGUUCCGACCCGCACGAAAGGCGUAACGAUCUGGGCACUGUCUCAACGAGAGACUCGGUGAAAUUAUAAUACCCGUGAAGAUGCGGGUUACCCGCGACAGGACGGAAAGACCCCAUGGAGCUUUACUGUAGCUUGAUAUUGGGUGUUUGUACAACUUGUACAGGAUAGGUAGGAGCCGUAGAAGUCGGGACGCUAGUUUCGACGGAGGCAUCGGUGGGAUACUACCCUCGUUGUAUGAACACUCUAACCCACGCCGGCAAUCACGGCGGGAGACAGUGUCAGGUGGGCAGUUUGACUGGGGCGGUCGCCUCCUAAAAGGUAACGGAGGCGCCCAAAGGUUCCCUCAGAAUGGUUGGAAAUCAUUCGCAGAGUGUAAAGGCAUAAGGGAGCUUGACUGCGAGACCUACAAGUCGAGCAGGGACGAAAGUCGGGCUUAGUGAUCCGGUGGUUCCGCAUGGAAGGGCCAUCGCUCAACGGAUAAAAGCUACCCUGGGGAUAACAGGCUUAUCUCCCCCAAGAGUCCACAUCGACGGGGAGGUUUGGCACCUCGAUGUCGGCUCAUCGCAUCCUGGGGCUGUAGUCGGUCCCAAGGGUUGGGCUGUUCGCCCAUUAAAGCGGUACGCGAGCUGGGUUCAGAACGUCGUGAGACAGUUCGGUCCCUAUCCGUCGCGGGCGCAGGGAAUUUGAGAGGAUCUGUCCUUAGUACGAGAGGACCGGGAUGGACAUACCGCUGGUGUACCAGUUGUUCUGCCAAGGGCAUCGCUGGGUAGCUAUGUAUGGAUGAGAUAAACGCUGAAAGCAUCUAAGUGCGAAACUCACCUCGAGAUAAGAUUUCCCACUCCUUUAUGGAGUUAAGACCCCUGAGAGAUGAUCAGGUAGAUAGGAUGGAAGUGGAAGUGCGGCGACGCAUGGAGCGGACCAUUACUAAUCGGUCGAGGACUUAAUC
rnacentral:rRNA from 1 species